rnacentral:lncRNA from 1 species
UGGGCGGAAGACAAUAUUAGAAGUAAUGCAGUUGCUCCUUGGUGCAUCAAAACUCCGAUGGUGGAUCAGGUAAUUCAGUUGCUCUUCUUUUUUGUCUGGGAAAAUUCAAUAAUCAAUUCCUCUCUCUUUUCUGUCUUUUGCAUAAUCUGGGUUGCAGAUGCUCAGUAACAAAACCUUUCUGGAAGGGGUGAUAAAUCGAGCUCCACUUCGCCGUGUGGGAGAUCCGAAGGAGGUGUCAUCUUUGGUGGCAUUCCUCUGUCUACCAGCAUCAUCUUACAUUACUGGACAGACUAUUUGUGUUGAUGGUGGCGUGACUGUUAAUGGUUUUGAGCCAAACCUGUUCUAGGAACAUCAUUAAGACUCUAAAAAAUCUUAGCUUCUUCUACCGCUUUCCUGUUUGGAUCCUGUCUUUUUCCUGAAUAAUAUGUUUGUGGUGGUAAGUACUCUUCUGUUUUUUCGGUGUGGGGUUCAUUUGAAAACAUUGUUGCAUGAUGCUUAUAAUAAUCGUUGGAAAGUUGGAAGAAGUUACUUAUCAUUGGAUGAGAUUCUUGUGAUGGGUGUUUCCUAUAAUCAGAUUUAUCUUGUUAUAAGGUUGUUGUUGUUGUAGUAAUAGGAUUGAAAGAGAAAUGCAAAUAAUCGUAAAAGGAUGAUGAAAAUUCAUCAUUUUUACUUAUUCAAAUAUUACACCAUCUCUAAUUUACAAUGAAUUUCAAUGAGUGCAAGUGAAACCAACCUUAAAAUAAUUUUGUUUGAUAAAUUUAGAUGAAAUUCAACCAGUGUGAAUCUUUAAAUUUUUUUUUUCAUUUCCAUUAAAGAUUAUUGUAAAUGAAAAAAAAUUAAAGUCAAAAAUACAUGUAGCAAUGAGACGAAGGAAAGCGGGUUCUAUCAUCUAUCACACAUCAUGGAAAAAGCUGUGGUACCAUGGCUUUUCCAGGACUUUUCCUUGCAUAAUGUUACCGUAUGCUAAUGUUUUGUCACUCAAAGAUAUUUUAAUAUAAAGUAGCGCGGAUAUACUAUAAACAUUCAGUUACGCCAUGUAACACGUUAGCCAAUAAGGUUACAAAUUUUAAUUUUAUAUUAAUAAUAUGAUUGGGUAUGCUCUAUAUUUUAAAAUAUAAUUGAAUCACAUAUAUCUAGAACUAGAAAUCCUUUUGAGGGACCAAUAACAUAAACCAUUAAAAUUUUAUAAUUUGAUAUUAUAAAUUCCUAUUAAAUUUUAAAAUAUAUUAAAUUUAUUUGAUAUAAAUAUAUAUAAAAAUAAAGAAAAAAUUUAUAUUUUCAUAUGAUAAAUUAUACAAAAGAAAAGCAAAUAUUUUUUUUUUAUCAAAAUUGUUUUCAACAAUAUUUCAAAUAUAUAUAUAAAUUUGGGAAACUUGUAUUUUGGAGCUGCUAUUUAGAAAUUAUAUGGUUUUCGGAACCCAAAAAUGGGAAAUAUGAGAAUCAAUUUUUAAUAUGAAAGGUAUUAUCGUUUUUGUGCACUCUGAGUCGGCUCCAUCUUUUGUGCCCAAAUUGUCCCUCCAUGUUUCCAACACAUUAUCUUAGCAUCAUUCCAACCUCCAUGUCAGUACGACCAUUGAAAUUUAGAAAAAAAAACACUAAAAUCUAAAUUUGUAACUUCUCAAAAAAAAAAAAAAAAAAACAAAACAAAACCUAAUAUGCAAGUUUUCAAUUUGCUCAUUUGGAAGUUUUCUCUCAUCUUUCUUCAGUCCCAACAAUCCAAAAUUUCUCUCAUUUUAGUUCAAAAACUCAAAUCCAAAACUCCAAAUGUGAUACAUUGUGGAAUUGUUUUCAUAGUCCUUAACAAGAUACAUGCAGCAUGUAUUGAACUUUAACCUAAUUCCUUCUACCAAUUUUUCUGGCCCCAAGUUACUGGGGACUAUGGUUCCGAUUGGGUGGUUUUUGAGUAGUCAAAAACCAUUUUUAAAGCUUAGUAAAAAAAUUUAUGCCGCUCAUUUUAUUUAAACAAUUUAUAACUUAAAAAAUAAGAAAAAAAAAUGUUUUUUAAAGCUUUAUUUUGACUAAUUCAAAAAGCUUUUUUUUUUUUUUUUUUAUGUUUGAUACAUUUUUUAUAAUAUCAAUAUUAUUUUUUAAAAAUGGUGACUUUUAGCUUUUAAUUAAAACUAAGAACAAGAAGUUAUUCUAAAUAUGACUUAUGUAUUCAUUCAGUGAAAGUAAUUUUUUCAUUUAAAAAAAGUAAUUUCUUGGUGAUAAAAAGAAAUAUUUUUUUAGUAGCUUUUUGAUGCUAUAAAAAAAGUGUUGGCUAAGUUUGUAUGAUAAAAUUGGUGUUAUUUAUAUACCUGCACUUUCGCUAGGGUCUUAUUUAUUGGGAAACUUGUGUUUAAUAUGCUCAAUUCUAUUUCUUUGUAUGGCUAUGCAAUUGUUUGGAUUUGGCAACACUAAUCAAUAAAUGUACUUUAUAUUUGAAACAUUGGAAUAAAAAAAGAGAAUAAGAGUUAAUUUUAUUUUCAAUUUAUUAAUAUAUUUUAAUUAUUUUUUACAA